CGGGGCGGGCUCUCUCCGCACUCGCUCCGCGCCCGGCGCCGCCGCUGCGCCCUCCCGGCUGCGAGUCCGCCCGGCUGCGGAUCACGUGGCGGUUGCCGGAGGCAGAGACUAGAGAGGAGAGGAAAAAAAAAAAAAGCGCCUCAUUCCUUCUUCCACCGCCAUACUGUAUUUUAUAGUAACUCUCAUUUUUAUUCCUCCCUUUUACUCCCGCUCGUGGAAGGUUUUCCUGGAGAAUGAAGUGCGGUUUGGUUUCCUUGUCAACGGAAGAUGAAGUGAACAACUGAACAUCUCCCCAGUGCAGGUACUUCAUCUGCUUGUAGGCGUUUCCACGCUGUGUAAAUUACAUUGUGAGAUUUUUUUAUUAUUAUUAUUUCAUUUUUUUUUAUUUUAAAGAAAUCUCCUUCCACCCUUAGCUUA
rnacentral:lncRNA from 1 species